rnacentral:rRNA from 1 species
UGGCGAACGGGUGAGUAACACGUGGGCAACCUGCCCAAAAGAGGGGGAUAACACUUGGAAACAGGUGCUAAUACCGCAUAACCAUAGUUACCGCAUGGUAACUAUGUAAAAGGUGGCUAUGCUACCGCUUUUGGAUGGGCCCGCGACGCAUUAGCUAGUUGGUGGGGUAAAGGCUUACCAAGGCAAUGAUGCGUAGCCGAACUGAGAGGUUGAUCGGCCACAUUGGGACUGAGACACGGCCCAAACUCCUACGGGAGGCAGCAGUAGGGAAUCUUCCACAAUGGGCGAAAGCCUGAUGGAGCAACGCCGCGUGGGUGAAGAAGGUCUUCGGAUCGUAAAACCCUGUUGUUAGAGAAGAAAGUGCGUGAGAGUAACUGUUCACGUUUCGACGGUAUCUAACCAGAAAGCCACGGCUAACUACGUGCCAGCAGCCGCGGUAAUACGUAGGUGGCAAGCGUUAUCCGGAAUUAUUGGGCGUAAAGAGAACGCAGGCGGUCUUUUAAGUCUGAUGUGAAAGCCUUCGGCUUAACCGGAGUAGUGCAUUGGAAACUGGGAGACUUGAGCGCAGAAGAGGAGAGUGGAACUCCAUGUGUAGCGGUGAAAUGCGUAGAUAUAUGGAAGAACACCAGUGGCGAAAGCGGCUCUCUGGUCUGUAACUGACGCUGAGGUUCGAAAGCGUGGGUAGCAAACAGGAUUAGAUACCCUGGUAGUCCA